rnacentral:rRNA from 1 species
GACGAACGCUGGCGGCGUGCUUAACACAUGCAAGUCGAACGGAAAGGCACUGCUUUUGUGGGGUGCUCGAGUGCCGAACGCGUGAGUAACACGUGAGUAACCUGCCCUUGACUUUGGGAUAACUUCAGGUAACUGAGCCUAAUACCAGAUAGGAGCUCCUGCUGCAUUGUGGGGGUUGGAAAGUUUCGGCGGUUGGGGAUGGACUCGCGGCUUAUCAGCUUGUUGGUGGGGUAGUGGCUUACCAAGGCUUUGACGGGUAGCCGGCCUGAGAGGGUGAACGGCCACAUUGGGACUGAGAUACGGCCCAGACUGCUACGGGAGGCAGCAGUGGGGAAUAUUGCACAAUGGGCGGAAGCCGGAUGCAGCAACGCCGCGGGCGGGAUGACGGCCUUUGGGUUGUAAACCGCUUUCGCCUGUGACGAAGCGGGAGUGACGGUAAUGGGUAAAGAAGCACCGGCUAACUACGUG